rnacentral:misc_RNA from 1 species
AUGAAAUACUGAAGCAGCUUCUUGUUUAGGAAGGAUUCCAGCAGUAUCGACUGGUGAUGAAAAUGGGGGCUGUAAAGAUGCAGCUUCAAUUCCAGGAGCAUAAUUUUCUAAGACAUUCUCCCAAGAGGGUAGGUUGAAAUGUUUCAGUGGCUGAUAUGUUAACCCAGCACCCUUAGUGUCUUCAGCUUUAUCAGCAUGGGCCAGUGAGAAGAAGUCCCUCCCAGGAACAGCUGACAGCUUCCCUUGAUAACUACUUGAAAAUGAAACGGGAUCAUGAUGACCAAGCAGGCCAG